rnacentral:rRNA from 1 species
CCCUAGUAACUGCGAGUGAAGCGGGAAAAGCUCAAAUUUAAAAGCUGGCGGUCUUAGGCCGUCCGCGUUGUAAUCUAGAGAAGUGUUAUCCGCGCUGGACCGUGUACAAGUCUCCUGGAAUGGAGCGUCAUAGAGGGUGAGAAUCCCGUCUUUGACACGGACUGCCAGGGCUUUGUGAUGCGCUCUCAAAGAGUCGAGUUGUUUGGGAAUGCAGCUCAAAAUGGGUGGUAAAUUCCAUCUAAAGCUAAAUAUUGGCGAGAGACCGAUAGCGAACAAGUACCGUGAGGGAAAGAUGAAAAGAACUUUGGAAAGAGAGUUAAACAGUACGUGAAAUUGCUGAAAGGGAAACGCUUGAAGUCAGUCGCGUUUGCCAGGGAUCAACCUCGCUUUUGCUGGGCGUACUCUCUGGUUGACGGGCCAGCAUCAAUUUUGGUCACUGGAAAAAUUCCAAGGGAAUGUGGCAUCUUCGGAUGUGUUAUAGCCUUUGGUUGCAUGCAGUGGCUGGGAUUGAGGAACUCAGCACGCCGAAAGGCAGGGUCUUUGACCACAUUCGUGCUUAGGAUGCUGGCAUAAUGGCUUUAAUCGACCCGUCUUGAAACACGGACCAAGGAGUCUAACAUGCCUGCGAGUGUUUGGGUGGAAAACCCGAGCGCGUAAUGAAAGUGAAAGUUGAGAUCCCUGUCGCGGGGAGCAUCGACGCCCGGACCAGAGCUUUUGUGACGGAUCUGCGGUAGAGCAUGUAUGUUGGGACCC